rnacentral:rRNA from 1 species
UACGGGGGGGGCAAGCGUUGUUCGGAAUUACUGGGCGUAAAGGGCUCGUAGGCGGCCAACUAAGUCGGAUGUGAAAUCCCCAGGCUCAACCUGGGAACUGCAUCCGAUACUGGAUGGCUUGAAUUCGGGAGAGGGAUGCAGAAUUCCAGGUGUAGCGGUGAAAUGCGUAGAUAUCUGGAGGAAUACCGGUGGCGAAGGCGGCAUCCUGGACCGGCAUUGACGCUGAACAGCGAAAGCUAGGGGAGCAAACGGG